rnacentral:lncRNA from 1 species
AAAUUAUUAGUAAAUAGAAAGUAUAAGAAAUAGAAAUACACAAUAUAAAAAAAAAUAAUAAGUAAAUAUAUAAUAUAAGUAAAUACCCAAUUUAAAAAAUGGAAAAUUACAUUAAGAUUUAAAAAUAUAUCUUAAAAUUUAAAAUAUAGAUAUUAAGUAAAUAGAAAGUAUAACAAAUGGAAAUAUACAAAUUAAAAAAAAAAUGGAAAACGUACAUUAAGAUUUAAACAUCUAUCUUAAAAUGUAAAAUAGAAAUAUUAAGUAGAUAAAAAGUACAAGAAAUGGAAAUACAUAUACAGGAAAAUAAAUAAUAAGUAAAUAAUGUAAAUAUAUAAUAUAUAAAUUAUAUAUAUAAUAAUAAGUAAAUACACAAUUUUUUUAAAAAAUGGAAAAACUUCAUUAAGC